UAUUCCUACGGGGCGCAGCAGUAAGGGAUAUUGGUCAAUGGGGGAAACCCUGAACCAGCAACGCCGCGUGAGGGAAGACGGUUUUCGGAUUGUAAACCUCUGUCCUCUGUGAAGAUGAUGACGGUAGCAGAGGAGGAAGCUCCGGCUAACUACGUGCCAGCAGCCGCGGUAAUACGUAGGGAGCGAGCGUUGUCCGGAUUUACUGGGUGUAAAGGGUGCGUAGGCGGCUUGGCAAGUCAGUAGUGAAAUCCAUGGGCUUAACCCAUGAACUGCAUUUGAAACUGUUAUUCUAGAGUAUGGGAGAG
rnacentral:rRNA from 1 species